rnacentral:rRNA from 1 species
AGAGUUUGAUCCUGGCUCAGGAUAAACGCUGGCGGCGUGCCUAACACAUGCAAGUCGAACGCCCUGUGGAAACGCAGGGAGUGGCGGACGGGUGAGUAACGCGUGGGUAUCUACCCAGAGGUGAGGAAUACCGGCGAGAAAUCGCCGACAAGACCGCAUAAGCUCGGGGAACCGAGCAAAGUCGAAAGACGCCUGUGGAU